GGUGGCUCAGUGGUAAAAAGAACCUGCCUGCCAAGCAGGAGGCACAGGUUCAAUCCCUGGGUCC
rnacentral:tRNA from 1 species